rnacentral:rRNA from 1 species
UACGGAGGAUCCAAGCGUUAUCCGGAAUCAUUGGGUUUAAAGGGUCCGUAGGCGGAUUAGUAAGUCAGGGGUGAAAGUUUGCGGCUUAACCGUAAAAUUGCCUUUGAUACUGCUAGUCUUGAAUAAUUAUGAAGUAGCUAGAAUAUGUAGUGUAGCGGUGAAAUGCUUAGAUAUUACAUGGAAUACCGAUUGCGAAGGCAGGUUACUAAUAAUUUAUUGACGCUGAUGGACGAAAGCGUGGGGAGCGAACAGG